GAGAAACAACUUCCAGAAGUGUUCUUGAGCUGUAAAUGUGUCUUUGACUGUGGUCAUCGCUAUUUCCCCUGUGAAGGACGGGAAUUUUCCACACGAGUCUGAGAAGAUUAAAAUGGUGAAUGAGAGUGACUGUGAUGAGCUAAGAUGUGUUUUUAGAAUCACUGAGGGUCCGAAGAAAAAUGAAACAAAGUGAUCCAGUGGCAGAGUUGAAGGAAUAUCCUGUCAAGCAACACCUGAACAUCUGAAGGCAGGAGUGUUUGCUUGGGCUGCUCUGAUGGGAACGGCGCACAGGGUGCGAAGGCCCCAGGUCAGAGAGACAUGAAGAGAAAGGUAUGGCCCAGCUGGUCGAUCCGCCUCUGUCUGCUCUGAGCCCAGGCCCUCGUUUCCCAUUUCACCACACCCAGACGUGCCCUCUGACUUGGAAAUGGAGAUUGAAUUUAGUUAUAAAAAGACUGUAUAUUCAAGGCAUGUUUGGGUGCCGAAAUAAGACACAGUCAUGUCCUCAAGCAGCUUGCACUUUAAUCCAGGAGAGAGAGAAGUAGACAAGAAAUUGCAAUGCC